UACGGAGGGUGCAAGCGUUAUCCGGAUUCACUGGGUUUAAAGGGUGCGUAGGUGGGCAGGUAAGUCAGUGGUGAAAUCCUGUAGCUUAACUACAGAACUGCCAUUGAUACUAUUUGUCUUGAAUACCCUGGAGGUGAGCGGAAUAUGUCAUGUAGCGGUGAAAUGCUUAGAUAUGACAUAGAACAUCUAUUGCGAAGGCAGCUCACUACGGGGAAAUAUUUGACGCUGAGGCACGAAAAGCGUGGGGGAUCAAACAGG
rnacentral:rRNA from 1 species